AACGAACGCUGGCGGCGCGCUUAACACAUGCAAGUCGAACGAGAAGCUGUAGCAAUACAGUUGUAAAGUGGCAUACGGGUGAGUAAUGCGUGGGUAAUCUACCCUAGGGUGGGGAAUAACUCCUCGAAAGGGGAGCUAAUGCCGACAUGUGCGCCACUCUCGCAAGGGAGUGAUGGAAAGCCGUACCGUGGUGCGGCGCCCAAGGAUGAGCUCACGUCCUAUCAGCUUGUUGGCGGGGUAACCGGCCCACCCAAGGCUGCGACGGGUAGCUGGUCUGAGAGGACGACCA
rnacentral:rRNA from 1 species